UACGUAGGGGGCAAGCGUUGUCCGGAAUCAUUGGGCGUAAAGCGCGUGUAGGCGGCUCGGUAAGUCUGCUCUGAAAGCCUGGGGCUCAACCCUGGGAGGCGGGUGGAUACUGCUGAGCUCGAGUCCGGAAGAGGCGAGUGGAAUUCCUGGUGGUAGCGGUGAAAUGCGCAGAUAUCAGGAGGAACACCAAUGGCGAAGGCAGCUCCGCUGGGACGGUACUGACGCUGAGACGCGAAAGCGUGGGGAGCAAACAGG
rnacentral:rRNA from 1 species